rnacentral:lncRNA from 1 species
GUCAUAGAGACACAAGGUUGAUCAAGAUCUCAGACAAAGAGUAAAUCAAGAUGAUCAACACGCAAAGAGUACAAGAUGUACCGAGAGGGAUCAAGUGAUCCCAUGGUAUGGUAACCAUUGUCCAUUACGUGUUUGCGUACUAACCCAUGGUCUUCGUGAGAGUUCUAUGUGGGGGUUAGGUGUGUUUCCAUGGGCUUGCGUCAAAAGAAAGAUCUCAUACAACCCAUGAAGUAUGACGUGAAUUGGUGAUCGUCAUCAAGAUUGCGGUGUGCAAGUUCAAGUGGAUCAGCACGAAUAUAUCAUGCUUGAAGCUUGUCGUCCAUUGUGGUGGCAAUGGACUUGUGAAGAUAUGCUGAAGAGUGGCUCACCCAUAGUGAGUAUGGGGGAGCAAUCAACUAGUCUUCAUCAAGCCAACGCAAUCAAGAAAGGUGGUCCAUCUUGAGGAAGCCAAGAUCAUCAUCAUCUAGCUCAAGUGGACGAGGUGCAAGGUAUAGGUUUGCGCUUGAUAGGUUUUCUGUUUUAGGAUAGAUUGCCGUUCUGCCAAGGGGGGCUCUCAAGUGAGUAGCUCGAUCAUAUCGUUCGUUGAUAGCUCAAACCAUUUCCAUCCUUGCAUCAUACUUCUUGGUUCUUAUUUGGUGUUUCUCUUUGUGAGUUUUAGAGCUUAUGGUCAUCUUGAUGACAAGCUCGAGUUCAU